rnacentral:snoRNA from 1 species
AUCCCAUGAUGAGCACAGGCAGCGACAUAUUCCUGCAGGCCUUCCCACGCUUCAGAAAUUGACUCAUCCCUCGUCUGCUGGAAGCUUGAAAUUCAACCGCAAAGGGC